rnacentral:rRNA from 1 species
GCAAGUCGAGGGGCAGCAUAGGACUUCGGUCCUGAUGGCGACCGGCGCACGGGUGAGUAACGCGUACACUACCUACCUUUAACAGAGGGAUAGCCCUGGGAAACUGGGAUUAAUACCUCAUAGUAUUACAUAUAUUAUUUAUUAGUAAAUAAAGCUUUGGCGGUUAAAGAUGGGUGUGCGUUAGAUUAGCUAGUUGGUAAGGUAAUGGCUUACCAAGGCGACGAUCUAUAGGGGGCGUGAGAGCGUGGAC